CGCGACGCUCCAAUGAAUUCACAUCGCCGGCUUAACGCUAAAAAUGGCAAUGUUUUAGGUUUCUCGAGUAUAUAUCCAAACUAUUGAAGUAUUUGAUAUAUUUGAGCAAUGCCUCAGAAAGCAAUCAAAGUGGAGGCUGAACUUUACAUUAAAGCGGUGACCUGUCCUGGAGUGCACCUACCAGCAAAGGAUGACAUUUACCUCAGUGUGUGCCUGAUGAACCAGUACAGAAUGUCACAGUGUCUACCAGCUGUGUUCCCCUUGCUGUUUAAAACAAAAAUGACAUUUGACAAGAUAUUCAAGUAUACCACUGAUCCUGCAGAUGUUGCUGAGAUGCUUCAAUGUCAAACUGUUAGAGUUGAACUCAUACAGCUGAUUCCUCCAGGUGGAGAUGUGUUGGCUGAAUAUCAGGUUGAUGCUAGAAGUUUCCUUUUCCCAGAGCCUAAGCUGGUGCCGUCUUUUUCUGGCGAAGACCGUGAAGUGCUAAUGACCAGAGACCCCACUUUCCCUGGUAUUUCUCCAAAGUUAGAGUUCUCCACCAGAACGAAAAUCAUUGAGUGCUCUGAGCGGGAUCUUUUCCAGAAUGCCCCUGUGAAAAUAAUAACAAGAAAAAGAGCAAAGUCGUCCAGACGUCACUGCUGCUUUUCAGAACCAAGAGGCUUCAGGAGCACAGAGAUGCUGAGAUCCCGUUCCCUUUCCCCGUUCAGAAGCAGUCCUUCAAGCUGGAACAACACUGAAAAUCUAAAUGAACAUCUCCCUGAUGAUAAGUCCUCAGACACAGAUGAUCUCCUUGACAACACAGAGGAACUGUCCCAGCGUAGUCGUCUAGUGGGAAAUAAGGGAUCUCCCAGCUCAUAUGCACUAGCUCACCCGAAGUUGAACAGAUUUCUUGCUUACAAUUGCUUCAACAAGCUGGUGCCUGACAGACAUCACCAAACUAUUGCAUUCUCCUUUUAAAAUGCUUUUCCAGGCUCCUUCCAGUCAUUGUUUGUUUUGGAUUUUUUUUCCCUUCAGUCUCCUCAUCAGUAGGUAAAAUGCUGCUCAGUUGGAUUUAGCUCUGUUAAUUGACUUGGUCAGUGUUAAACCUUCCACUUUUUCCCCUGAUGAAGUCCUUUGUUGUGUUGGCAAAGUGUUUAGAGUCAUUGUCCUGCAAUGCCUAGCUGUUACAAAGCAGCCUUACAGGAGACCGAACUCAUGCCUUUAUCCUGAAAUCUUCAUGAUAUAAUUUUGUCUUGAACUCACCAAAUUCAUGGGAAGAGGUUCAGGAGCGAGUGCACAAUCUCCUCACUUCUCCCCGAGCCGUGCACAGACUGGCCUACGGUGUAACGAAAUCUGAAA